AUUGAACGCUGGCGGCAUGCCUUACACAUGCAAGUCGAACGGCAGCGGACCUUCGGGUGCCGGCGAGUGGCGAACGGGUGAGUAAUGCAUCGGAACGUACCUUUCAGUGGGGGAUAACGUAGCGAAAGUUCCGCUACUACCGCAUAUUCUGUGAGCAGGAAAGCAGGGGAACGCAAGACCUUGCGCUGAUUGAGCGGCCGAUGUCAGAUUAGCUAGUUGGUGGGGUAAAGGCUCACCAAGGGGACGAUCUGUAGCGGGUCUGAGAGGAUGAUCCGCCACACUGGGACUGAGACACGGCCCAGACUCCUACGGGAGGCAGCAGUGGGGAAUUUUGGACAAUGGGGGCAACCCUGAUCCAGCCAUGCCGCGUGAGUGAAGAAGGCCUUCGGGUUGUAGAGCUCUUUCGGCCGGGAAGAAAUCGCACAGGCUAAUACCUUGUGUGGAUGACGGUACCGGAAUAAGAGGCACCGGCUAACUACGUGCCAGCCGCCGCUCUAACAC
rnacentral:rRNA from 1 species